rnacentral:lncRNA from 1 species
CCGGGGUGUCCGGCCUUGGCAUUCUGGACCGAAUCCACGAUCAGCAUCCUCACAUUGUCCACGCAUCGCUUGUCGACCAAGUUCUGGAACGACUCAUCCUCCAAUUCCUCCAGUUUGUCCCAAUUCAGAUUGGGAAUCUCUCUCUGGUAAGCCUUCUUGAGCUCCUCUUUCCAUGAGAGCUUGUCGUCUCUGGACAGAGAAGAGCGUUGAGCAGCUGGUUUACAAUCUUGGGUCUUGAGCGAGCUGCAAGCGAUGGAUUUAGCAGAUAACUUGCUCCUUCUGUAGGAACAAAAAGAUGGGUAUUGGUUAUGGAGGAGCGACGAGAUCGCCAUGGACGAAAGCUGGUUCCCUUAUCUCGGAUCGUAGCUAAAGCAGAGGAAGUAACCGACAGACGUUGGGUUGGAAUAACCAUGGAAUUGCAGAUGAAGG